GAUCUACUCCCUGCGUCCCGAAAUAAGUGACUCAAAAAUGACUAUACUUUGUACUAAAGUUAGUACAAAACAAAGUCAUUUUUGAGUCACUUAUUUUGGGACGAAGGGAGUACAUG
rfam:Hordeum vulgare subsp. vulgare, WGS project CAJW01000000 data, contig: morex_contig_61950